GUCUAGUCGACCGUUUCUCUUAUAAAUUGCCCCGGGCGCGAGGUAACUGGAAAGUUGCAAUUCCGAACAAGCAGAAAAGUUUGACAUCUCUUCUGUAGCCGAAGAUCGCAGGAAUGGAACGUCCCGAAGGAAACCUCCCCCUCUUUGGUGAAUCCUUGUCGCCCUCGAGGGAUUACGAGGUGUUCUUAAGCUUCAGAGGGCCCGACACUCGCUUAACCAUCACCGACACUCUCUACACGGCCAUGAUCCGGGCUGGGAUACGCGUCUUCAAAGACGACGAAGAGCUCCACGUUGGGGAAGAGAUCGGAGGCGAGCUUCUGAGAGCAAUCUCCAAUUCAAAGAUCUACGUACCGAUCUUCUCUAAAGACUACGCUUCCAGUAAAUGGUGCCUCCGAGAGCUCGCGUACAUGGUGGAGUGUAGGAAGGAGAGGCGAGAAAGCGAUCUUGCCCAUCUUCUACGACGUGGAUGCAUCCGAUGUUAAGCUCAAAACUGGAUCGUAUGGGAAGGCCCUACAGAAGCACGAGCGAGAGUCCGGUGAAGAUGCGGCGAAGCAGUGGGAGGAGGCCCUGAGAGAGGUCGCCGGAAUCAAGGGAUGGAACUUAAAAGAUCACGGCCAAGAUAAACUUACAGCACUUGUUGUGGAAGAUGUUCUUCGUAAGCUGGGAUGGCCUAUGCAAAGAGACUGGCGUGAUGACUUGGUGGGAGUUGAGGAUCAGAUGGAAGCUGUUAUGGAGCUGUUAAGCCAAGGCACUCCCGAUGUUCGAUUUGUGGUGAUUCACGGCAUGGGUGGUAUCGGAAAAACAACUCUUGCUAAGGCCAUCUUCAGGCGCAUCUCUUCUCAGUUUCAAUGUUCCAGCUUUCUUUUAGAUGUCCGUG